GCAGAUGUUGUGUCAGUCAUGUCCAUUUGAUCAUCAUUCUGUAGCAGACCCAAUUUUCUCUUCUGAGCCCUCUCUUUUCUAGCCGCCUUCUUCUGCUCCAACUCCUCGAUCGCCUUCGCCCUCCUCGCCUCGAGCGACUUCAGCUCCUGCUCCUUGAACGGCCAGUCGUUGGGAAUUCCGGGAUCCUUCUCGACCUUCGUCUUCCGGUGUAACCCGAGCUUCUUCGCCU
rnacentral:misc_RNA from 1 species